GACGAACGCUGGCGGCGCGCCUAACACAUGCAAGUCGAACGGAGAUGAUAAAAGCUUGCUUUGAUCAUCUUAGUGGCGGACGGGUGAGUAACACGUGAGCAACCUGCCUUUCAGAGGGGGAUAACGUUUGGAAACGAACGCUAAUACCGCAUAACGUAUACGGAUGGCAUCAACUGUAUACCAAAGGAGCAAUCCGCUGAAAGAUGGGCUCGCGUCCGAUUAGCUAGAUGGUGAGGUAACGGCCCACCAUGGCGACGAUCGGUAGCCGGACUGAGAGGUUGACCGGCCACAUUGGGACUGAGACACGGCCCAGACUCCUACGGGAGGCAGCAGUGAGGGAUAUUGGGCAAUGGGGGAAACCCUGACCCAGCGACGCCGCGUGAGGGAAGAC
rnacentral:rRNA from 1 species